GCUUAGCAGCUGAGGGAGUAGCAUCUUUCUCUAGCUUGAGUCUGUGCUCUUUUUGAAUCAUCAUUGGUCAGCAGGAAGGAUUAUUUGUGGAAGAAUACCACAGGAGAAAAAAAAAUCUAGGCUGGAGAUUUCAUAGAGUUCUACUAAUGUCUUAUUUACGAUCCACUGUUGUUUUCGUAACUUGCUUGCAAGGAGCAUGAAGAAAUUCAGCAUGUUCCUGAAACUGAGUUAAUGAGAUGAAACACAGAAUUUUUUCACAUCGUUCAUCAAAAGUACUUUUUACUCUUCAGGAGAAGAAAAGGACAGACAGAAACAGCAGACUACAGCCUGAGAGUAACAGAUGGAAGAUACUGUCUAUCAAACAUAAAGCCAUGUAUUCAGAAAUCAAAAGGAUAUGCUGUUGAAAAGUUACCUGAAAAUGUUUGUCUUCCAAAAAAUCCUUUUUGUUCUUCCUUGAACAGGAAAACAUGUCAGCCUGAGGAAAGAAUAAUGCAUGGCUUAUGGAUGGAAGAAGCAACUAGAUAAAAUAGAGAUAUGUACCAUUUGUUUAAAGAAUUUGUAACUUCCGUAGUUUUUGUUAGGGCUCUAAAUCUUUCUGGCUAUCCAUGCCACAGCUGUUACUUAGAUGUUUUUUCCCUCCCUUCAUGUUUGAUUAUUUCUGUACACUUUCAAUGAGAUAAUACUUUUAAAACAUUGAGAAAUCUCAUGCUAAUACAUAUUUC
rnacentral:lncRNA from 1 species